rnacentral:lncRNA from 1 species
ACCCACCAAACCUAGACUGGGUUUCAUUCUAUAGGAUACCGAGCCGCCCUCCUCAAAACAGUCAAAAGUCAUGAGAAAGAAGAUCAAGGAAUGGUCGCAGACCAGAGGAGACUGGGGAGACAAGACAAAGGUCCACUAGUCUGUCCCAGGGCUGCACCCAUAAAACAUCUCUUCCCUGCAACAGCUUACCUGCGGCCAAGGUGAAACGAGCGGGUCUACUCUGCCACCAGGUGAGCAGCAUGAGCUGAAAAGCAGAAAUAC